rnacentral:rRNA from 1 species
GAUGAACGCUGGCGGCGUGCCUAAUACAUGCAAGUCGAGCGAACGGACGAGAAGCUUGCUUCUCUGAUGUUAGCGGCGGACGGGUGAGUAACACGUGGAUAACCUACCUAUAAGACUGGGAUAACUUCGGGAAACCGGAGCUAAUAACGGAUGAUAUUUUGAACCGCAUGGUUCAAAAGUGAAAGACGGUCUUGCUGUCACUUAUAGAUGGAUCCGCGCUGCAUUAGCUAGUUGGUAAGGUAACGGCUUACCAAGGCAACGAUGCAUAGCCGACCUGAGAGGGUGAUCGGCCACACUGGAACUGAGACACGGUCCAGACUCCUACGGGAGGCAGCAGUAGGGAAUCUUCCGCAAUGGGCGAAAGCCUGACGGAGCAACGCCGCGUGAGUGAUGAAGGUCUUCGGAUCGUAAAACUCUGUUAUUAGGGAAGAACAUAUGUGUAAGUAACUGUGCACAGCUUGACGGUACCUAAUCAGAAAGCCACGGCUAACUACGUG